GAUGGAUGCUGGCGGCGUGCCUAACACAUGCAAGUCGAGCGGCAGCGCGAGUAGUUUACUACUUGGCGGCGAGCGGCGGACGGCUGAGUAACGCGUGGGAACGUGCCCCAAAGUGAGAAAUAACUGCCCGAAAGGGUGGCUAAUGCCGCAUAUGAUCUUCGGAUUAAAGGAUUUAUCCGCUUUGGGAGCGGCCCGCGUCGGAUUAGGUUGUUGGUGAGGUAAUGGCUCACCAAGCCGACGAUCCGUAGCUGGUCUGAGAGGAUGAUCAGCCAGACUGGGACUGAGACACGGCCCAGACUCCUACGGGAGGCAGCAGUGAGGAAUCUUCCACAAUGGGCGAAAGCCUGAUGGAGCAACGCCGCGUGAAGGAUGAAGGCCCUCGGGUUGUAAACUUCUUUUAUAAGUGAAGAAUAUGACGGUAACUUAUGAAUAAGCACCGGCUAACUACGUGCCAGCCGCCGCAGUAAAAC
rnacentral:rRNA from 1 species